AAACCCGGGAAACUGGGUAUAAUACCCGAUAGAUCUCGGCUGCUGGAAUGCAUCGAGAUCUAAAGCUCCGGCGCCUGAGGAUGGGUCUGCGGCCUAUCAGGUAGUAGUGGGUGUAGCGUACCUACUAGCCUACGACGGGUACGGGUUGUGAGAGCAAGAGCCCGGAGAUGGAUUCUGAGACACGAAUCCAGGCCCUACGGGGUGCAGCAGGCGCGAAAACUUUACAAUGCCGGCAACGGCGAUAAGGGGACCUCGAGUGCCAGGUUACAAAUCUGGCUGUCGUGAUGCCUAAAAAGCAUUGCAUAGCAAGGGCCGGGCAAGACCGGUGCCAGCCGCCGCGGUAACACCGGCGCUUCGAGUGGUAACCGUUAUUAUUGGGUCUAAGGGGUCUGUAGCCGGCCGGAUAAGUCUCUUGGGAAAUCCAGCAGCUCAACUGUUGGGCUUUCAGGGGAUACUGUCUGGCUCGAGGCCGGGAGAGGUGAGAGGUACUUCAGGGGUAGGGGUGAAAUCUUUGUAAUCCUUGAAGGACCACCAGUGGCGAAGGCGUCUCACCAGAACGGACCUGACGGCAAGGGACGAAAGCUAGGGGCACGAACCGGAUUAGAUACCCGGGUAGUCCUAGCCGUAAACGAUACUCGCUAGGUGUCGGCCACGGUGCGACCGUUGUCGGUGCCGUAGGAAGCCGUGAAGCGAGCCACCUGGGAAGUACGGCCGCAAGCUGAACUUAAA
rnacentral:rRNA from 1 species